rnacentral:rRNA from 1 species
GGGGGAAUUUUCCGCAAUGGCGCGAAAGNCCUGGACGGAGCAAUACCGCGUGAGGGAGGAAGGCUCUUGGGUCGUAAACCUCUUUUCUCAGGGAAGAACACAAUGACGUGCUGAGUAAAAAAUACUUAGUGCUGAGAGUUUAGGAAUUCAGGACUGCCGUAGUGGGAGUAAAUAUGAGAAGACAUGUGAUGAGACCGAAAAGCUCAGCACUAAGCACUCAUAACUCAACACUGUAUUGGGGGGUUUAGCUCAGUUGGUAGAGCGCCUGCUUUGCAAGCAGGAUGUCAGCGGUUCGAGUCCGCUAACCUCCACCUGUGGCGAUCGCCAAAAUUAAAGUAAGAGAAACCAGCAACAUGGCUAAAGCCAGACUGCUGAGUAAAAUCUCAGCCAGAACCUUGAAAACUGCAUAGUAACGCGAAAUUAGCAGGCAGACACAGGCAUUCUUUUAUGGAUGUUGAGUGGAUGCAAAUGUAACACCAAAUGUUUGAGUGGUCAAGCU